UCAUCGUAUAUCGCGAAAGGGGAUUAGGGUUGAAACAGCUUGUCCCUUUCUGAGAUUUCAAGUUAUGAAAAUUUCCAUCUUUAUUCUGCAGCUUCACAUAUGAACAGCCCGUGUUCUUCUGCUUUCUAGCUUCUCAGACGAUCUCCUUCGUCUUCUCCACUGCUCCAGUAAUACCUGCUACUCACUUCUCUGCUUCUCCUGAUGACUACAAUACAACAUGCUGCUUUCGAUGAACAAUAUAUAACUUCUCCCUGCGAUUCCAAGUAACAUUCUUCAAAACUGAUUCAUCCGUGUCUACUUGUUAAUUCAUCUCAUGUGCACCUGAAGCUUUUUGCAGUUACUCCACCUGAAGCUAAAAUCUCCUCAUUGUUAGCUUCAUCAAAAAAAAUUUCACACAUAACCUUCUCACCAAUGUUCUUCUUGAUUUUUUUUUUUUUGUUUCUUUCCUUUUGCAAAAACCAUAAAUUCUCGAUUUCAUCUUUUUAGCAGCUUCUCUGGUAAACAGCCAGUACUGCUCUUAAGCUACUUCGAUGAUCUUCAGGUAAAAUUUCAUAACCUGAACAUCCUCUCGACUUGAGUUCAGCUGAAUAAGAACCUGACUCGGUUUCUUUUCCCUUUCUUUACGGUGUACCCUAACACCUCGCCUUUGCUGGUCCUCGGACACUCGUUUCCUUUCAGUUUAUCCGGCAAGCUGAUUCACCUCCUCCACUGCUUAAGACGUUCAAGGUACUUUAAUUUAAUCCAAUUGUGAGAAAGAGUCAUUGGCAUUUAACAAUAUGAACAGGUAGGGAAAUGCAAAAUGCUGCGUUUUGCAUUACGGUGAAAGAAGGAAAAAGUUAAAUAAGGAUAUGGAAAAGUUAAAUAAGGAUAUAAUAAAAUAUUAUGUUAUAAGCUAGUUAUAAUAUUAAAAAAAAAACAUCAUUCACUUGGUCUAUGUAAUAGAUCUAAGGGUGUUAGACCACUUCCAUUGGUUAGAGCCCUUAAGAGCAACAUUAUUGCAAACUUUUUAAAUUUAGGUUCUUAGCAUAUUUUAUUAA